UCUUCGGACCAAAGAGGGGGACCUUCGGGCCUCUUGCCAUCAGAUGUGCCCAGAUGGGAUUAGAUAGUAGGUGGGGUAAUGGCUCACCUAGGCGACGAUCCCUAGCUGGUCUGAGAGGAUGACCAGCCACACUGGAACUGAGACACGGUCCAGACUCCUACGGGAGGCAGCAGUGGGGAAUAUUGCACAAUGGGCGCAAGCCUGAUGCAGCCAUGCCGCGUGUAUGAAGAAGGCCUUCGGGUUGUAAAGUACUUUCAGCGAGGAGGAAGGCAUUAAGGUUAAUAACCUUAGUGAUUGACGUUACUCGCAGAAGAAGCACCGGCUAACUCCGUGCCAGCAGCCGCGGUAAUACGGAGGGUGCAAGCGUUAAUCGGAAUUACUGGGCGUAAAGCGCACGCAGGCGGUCUGUCAAGUCGGAUGUGAAAUCCCCGGGCUCAACCUGGGAACUGCAUUCGAAACUGACAGGCUAGAGUCUUGUAGAGGGGGGUAGAAUUCCAGGUGUAGCGGUGAAAUGCGUAGAGAUCUGGAGGAAUACCGGUGGCGAAGGCGGCCCCCUGGA
rnacentral:rRNA from 1 species